GGGUCAGUAGGUUGGUCGUGCCACCGGUACGUACUGGUCUCACUGAUUCCUCCUUCCUGAAGAACCGUAAUGCCACUAAUUUGGUGUUGCGGGGAAACAGGACUGUUACUUUGAAAAAAUUAGAGUGUUUAAAGCAAGCUAACGCUUGAAUACAUUAGCCUGGAAUAAUGAAAUAGGACGAUCGAUCCUAUUUUGUUGGUUUCUAGGAUUGACGUA
rnacentral:rRNA from 1 species